UACGUAGGUGGCAAGCGUUGUCCGGAUUUACUGGGCGUAAAGGAUGCGUAGGCGGACAUUUAAGUCAGAUGUGAAAUACCCGAGCUUAACUUGGGUGCUGCAUUUGAAACUGGGUGUCUAGAGUGCAGGAGAGGUAAGUGGAAUUCCUAGUGUAGCGGUGAAAUGCGUAGAGAUUAGGAAGAACACCAGUGGCGAAGGCGACUUACUGGAUCUCUUCUGACGCUGAGGCACGAAAGCUAGGGUAGCGAACGGG
rnacentral:rRNA from 1 species